GAACAGUUAACUAAGAAGAUAUUACUAUUCCAAACAUACUUGCACUGAACCCUGGGCACCCAAUUUCUUUAAAAAAAAUCUACUACUGGAAUUAAAGACACAGAUUAACAAUAUUAUGCUAUUUUGUUGUCUCACAUCCUUCAAUAUACAGGCCUUCUAGACAAAAAAAAAAAAAAAACCCAGAAAUAUCAGAAUUAAUUGAUACCAUAAAUCAAAUGGACUUGAUAGUUAUCUACAGAAUAUCCUAGCCAAACAACAAAGAAUACACUUUAUACUCAUCACCACAUGGAAAAUUUUAAAAUAGACCACAUACUGGGAUAAAACCCAAAUCUUUAAAAAAUUCAAAAAGAUUGAAAUAACUCCUUGUUAUACUAUCUGAUCACAAUACAAUAAAACAUAAAAUUGACAGCAACCAAAUCUCUAGUAAUUACAAAACUCAUGGAGAUCAAUCAACUCAUUACUCAAUGAGUAACGUGUCAGAGAGGAAAUCAAGAAAGAAAUAAAAAAAGUUCUGGAACUAAAUGAAAACAAAAACAUAGCACAACAAAACUUGUGGGACACAUAGAAAGUAGUCCUGUGAGGGAAGUGUUUAAGUCAGUCCACACAGAAGUGACUUAAUGAUGCAACUUUAAAAGUUGGAAAAAUAAGAACAAACCAGGUCCAAACUCAGUAAAUGGAAAGAAAUAGUAAAAAUUAGAUCUGACAUCAAUGAAAUAGAAACAAAGAAAACACAAAAAACUAAGUCUAAAGAUAGCUAGCUCUUUGAGAAGAUAGACAAGGUUGGUAGUCUCUUUGUCCAACUGUACAAAAGAAAGAAAACCCAAUUAGCAGACUCAGAAAUAGACAAGGAAACGUUACAACAGACACUAAAGGAAUUCAGAAUAUUAGAAGGUAAUAUGUUAAAAACAUGAAUUCUAUUAACCUGGAAAACAAACAAACAUACAUAAUGGAUGGAUUUCUAGAUUGACCCAAACCACUAAAAUUAAACC
rnacentral:lncRNA from 1 species